rnacentral:rRNA from 1 species
ACAAGCGGUGGAGUAUGUGGUUUAAUUCGAUGCAACGCGAAGAACCUUACCUGGUCUUGACAUCCCGGAGACCCUUAGGAAACUAGGGGUGCUUCCAUCUGGAAGAAUCUGGAGACAGGUGCUGCAUGGCUGUCGUCAGCUCGUGUCGUGAGAUGUUGGGUUAAGUCCCGCAACGAGCGCAACCCUUGCCUUUAGUUGCCAGCAGUUCGGCUGGGCACUCUAAAGGGACUGCCGGUGUUAAACCGGAGGAAGGUGGGGAUGACGUCAAGUCCUCAUGGCCUUUAUGACCAGGGCUGCACACGUACUACAAUGGCCGAUACAAAGGGCAGCGACACUGCGAGGUGAAGCCAAUCCCGUAAAAUCGGUCUCAGUCCGGAUUGGAGUCUGCAACUCGACUCCAUGAAGUUGGAAUCGCUAGUAAUCGUGGAUCAGCAUGCCACGGUGAAUACGUUCCCGGGCCUU